rnacentral:rRNA from 1 species
UAGAGAUAUCUUUUUGCCUUAGCAUCUGUGGACUGGUGGAGGGGGGUGCAUGGUUGUCGUCAGCUCGUGUGUUGAGAUGUUGCCCUAAAUCCCGCAACCCCCGCAACCCCUAUUGCUACUUGCCAUCAUUUACUUGGGCACUCUACCGAGACCGCCAUUGACAAGACGGAGGAAGGUGGGGAUGAGGUCAAAUCCUCAUGCCCCUUAUGUCCUGGGCUACACACGUACGACAAUGGCAGUCACAACGGGCAGCAACACCGCGAGGUGAACCGAAUCCCCCAAGGCUGUCUCAAUUCAGAUUGCACGCUGCCCCUCGCCUGCAUGAAGAAGGAAUUGCUAGUAAUGACAGGUCAGCAUACUGCCGUGAAUACGUUCCCGGGUCUUGGACACACCG